GCAUAUCAAUAAGCGGAGGAAAAGAAACCAACAGGGAUUGCCUCAGUAGCGGCGAGUGAAGCGGCAAGAGCUCAGAUUUGAAAUCGUGUUUCGGCACGAGUUGUAGAGUGUAGGUGGGAGUCUCUGCGGAGCACAGUGUCCAAGUCCCUUGGAACAGGGCGCCUGAGAGGGUGAGAGCCCCGUGGGGUGCUGUGCGAAGCUUUGAGGCCCUGCUGACGAGUCGAGUUGUUUGGGAAUGCAGCUCUAAGCGGGUGGUAAAUUCCAUCUAAGGCUAAAUAUUGGCGAGAGACCGAUAGCGAACAAGUACUGUGAAGGAAAGAUGAAAAGCACUUUGAAAAGAGAGUGAAACAGCACGUGAAAUUGUUGAAAGGGAAGGGUAUUGGGCCCGACAUGGGGAGUGCGCACCGCUGUCUCUUGUAGGCGGCGCUCUGGGCGCUCUCUGGGCCAGCAUCGGUUCCUGCUGCGAGAGAAAGGGUUCCGGAAAGUGGCUCUUCGGAGUGUUAUAGCCGGGGCCAGAUGUCGCGUGUGGGGACCGAGGACUGCGGCUUCUUUCUCG
rnacentral:rRNA from 1 species